GAUGAACGCUAGCUAUAGGCUUAACACAUGCAAGUCGAGGGGAAACGGCAUUAUGUGCUUGCACAUUUUGGACGUCGACCGGCGCACGGGUGAGUAUCGCGUAUCCAACCUGCCCUUUACUUGGGGAUACCCCGUUGAAAGACGGCCUAAUACCCGAUGUAAUUCAUUGAUGGCAUCAGAUAUGAAUAAAAGAUUUAUCGGUAAAGGAUGGGGAUGCGUCUGAUUAGCUUGUUGGUGAGGUAACGGCUCACCAAGGCGACGAUCAGUAGGGGUUCUGAGAGGAAGGUCCCCCACAUUGGAACUGAGACACGGUCCAAACUCCUACGGGAGGCAGCAGUGAGGAAUAUUGGUCAAUGGACGGAAGUCUGAACCAGCCAAGUAGCGUGCAGGAAGACGGCCCUAUGGGUUGUAAACUGCUUUUAUACGAGAAUAAUUUGAUGCACGUGUGCGUUAUUGCAU
rnacentral:rRNA from 1 species